CAUAUACUCCCUCCGUCCGGAAAUACUUGUCCUACAAAUGAAUGUAUCUAGACUUAUUUUAGUUAUAGAUACAUCUAUUUUAUUCAUUUUUAGGACAAGUAAUUUUGGACGGAGGGAGUAUUUA
rnacentral:pre_miRNA from 1 species